rnacentral:rRNA from 1 species
GAUGAACGCUGGCGGUAUGCCUUACACAUGCAAGUCGAACGGAAAUUAGCUUCGGUUAAUUUUAGUGGCGGACGGGUGAGUAACACGUGAGAAUUCGCCUUUAGGAGGGGGACAACGGAUGGAAACAUUCGCUAAAACCCCAUAUGCCCCUGGGUGAAACAGAGGAGAUAAGUAACACUGACUCACCUCUGCCUGAAGAGAAGCUCGCGGCUGAUUAGCUAGUUGGUAGGGUAAAGGCCUACCAAGGCGACGAUCAGUAGCUGGUCUGAGAGGACGAUCAGCCACACUGGAACUGGUACACGGUCCAGACUCCUACGGGAGGCAGCAGUGAGGAAUUUUGCGCAAUGGGGGCAACCCUGACGCAGCAACGCCGCGUGAGUGAAGAAGGCCUUUGGGUCGUAAAGCUCUGUCGACAGGGAAGAAGUUAACAUUAUCCAAUAGGUAGUGUUAUUGACGGUAC